GAGGGGUGUGUGUGUGUGUGAGAGAGAGAGUGUGAGAGAGAGAGAGAGAGAGAGAGAGAGAGAGAGAGUAUCGCUCGCGCUGUUCAGGGAUCACACUGAUUGAGCUUGCGCCGGGCUGCAGAUGGGUCUGUGCUGAUUUGAGGAGCAGAAUGGGGAAAUGGCAGAUAUCGAUGGACCCAGUGCAGGAGUGGGGUGAGGAGGUGGAGGAUGGUGUUGUGUACGGAGUGGCGCUACACCGCAUAUGUGAUCUUGAGGAUCCCACUGACCCUGUCCCCUCCUCUGAGCCCUGUCCCCAAAGCUGUGUACAGUAUCGGACGCUGAAGGUCCGGCGGCUCAAGGCAGCCACUCUGCAGAGGUUGGUCAGCGAGCUGGUCCAACCGGAGUGCAGCGACCCGGAUUACCCCCGAAUCUUUCUGUCCACCUAUAGAGCCUUCACCUGCACCACCUCACUCGUACAGCUGCUCUUCCAGAGGGAAGACUCCAUCACUAACCUGGACAGCAGUGUGUGUGUGAGGAGCUUGUGAGAAGUCCCGGUACGCAGGAAAAAGUCCCGGUAGAAGUGCCGGUACUGCGUACUGGUGAGUACCGCUCUGCUUCGAGCACUGCUGCUUACUGUAAAUCAGAACAUGAAUUAGUUUCUA
rnacentral:lncRNA from 1 species